rnacentral:rRNA from 1 species
AUUGAACGCUGGCGGCAUGCUUUACACAUGCAAGUCGAACGGCAGCACAGGGAGCUUGCUCCCGGGUGGCGAGUGGCGCACGGGUGAGUAAUACAUCGGAACGUGUCCUGUUGUGGGGGAUAACUGCUCGAAAGGGUGGCUAAUACCGCAUGAGACCUGAGGAUGAAAGCGGGGGACCUUCGGGCCUCGCGCGAUUGGAGCGGCCGAUGGCAGAUUAGGUAGUUGGUGGGAUAAAAGCUUACCAAGCCGACGAUCUGUAGCUGGUCUGAGAGGACGACCAGCCACACUGGGACUGAGACACGGCCCAG